GACUGGCAUCCAGGCUAACCCAACCCUAUUCUAAGCAAGAAAACAAAUAACUGUAUUUCCAAAAUUUCAAAAUACUGUAUUCUUUCAAAAAAACAACACUCCACUGAUUUAGCCUUGCACUGCUAACACUGUCUGACUUACAGUGGACAGUGUUUUAAUAAAAACAAUAAAGAUUGAUGCAUGAGAACCAGAGAUAUUGUUUUGUUUAUACAUGCAAUCUUCUUCCUUGCCAAAACUGGGAGCCUACAUUCCCCACAAUGCACCUUAACUGCUGACAGUUCGGACAGAGAUUUGGGUGUUAUUCUAUUAGUGGCCAAUGUAGCCUCAAGCAGAGAUGAGAAGCGGGCUACAAAAGGUCUGGAAAGCUCACUUCUUCCUAACUCCACUCCCCAUUUAUAUUUCCAAACUUGCAGUCUUCAGACCCAACUGAAGCUGACUAAGUGGUGCGGUGGCUGACCAGGGGAAACGCAACGGCCCGACACACUCCCACGAAACGUGCUGCAGCUUCAGAAACGAUGCUGAUUCAAAAACACAUACAAAAAUCCAGAACAAAUACAACGGAAACAAGCUGCGGAUGAUAAAACGUGCUGCAGAAAGCCAAAACAAAUACAUUAACAGCAAAAAGCUGCAAAUACAGAAUCGAUGCCGAGUAAAAAAAAAAAAAAACUAGGCAAGUUUCUAUCUCCUUAACUCCAGCCGUGUCCCUCCUGCUUUUAUUGGCCUACUGCAUUAAUGGUUGACUGGGUUGACUUUAUCAGCUCUUUUACAUGAACUAAACCCUCUAUAAUGACAGUCGAUCCACUUUUUGUAGUGAUGCCUUCCCAGCUGCUGAAUUUAUUAAUAAACUAUAAUCUUUUUGACCUUAUAUCAGUGCCAAUUAAGGCCGGUUUGUCUGCCCCCCAGUCGCAUCCGGCCACAGUUUGCAAUAGAUUGACUUUUUUGCAUUUCAUGUCUAAGUGUUCGAUACACUCAAAAAAAUGAUUCAAGGCCUUCUUAGAGGUGACACAUUAAAAUAUAAUUUGCUUUAUUUAAAUAUAUCUAUUUAAGAUCAUAUGUAUAUAUAUUUAAGUGGUUUAACUAAAAAUAUAUUAAUAGCUCCACCUAUGAGUAAUACUGACCGAAAUGUGUGCAACAGAGCCGAAUUUCACUCUUCAAAGUUGAAGGGAGUUGGCUGGCUAAGUUAACUUUUGGUGGCUAGCUAGUGCUAAUUUUAGACUUAACGUUACUGUUUAUUGACAUAGCGUUAGAUGCCACAUUGACUGCUUUGGUUAACUUAUUUGUUGCCCGCAAUAUUGGACCGGGAAAAACUGGCCUGUAGAAAAAGUGUGUGUGUGUGUGUGUGUGUGUGUGUGUGUGUGUGAGUGUGAGAGAGAGAGUGUGUGAGAGAGAGAGUGUGUGAUGGCGGUGACAACCCUUUAUCAACCACGUCCGGGCUGCAUUGGGCAGCUGCGUAUUUUCUGGCGUGUCAUAGGGGUAUGUGGCUCGGCAGAUGCACUUAAGCCGCCUACAGUUCAUCCCAUGGAUGUAUUAAGAGAACGUGGUAAACCUGCUCUAUGCUGUGUGUCUUAAGUUUCCUAUGGGGAGAGCUGUGGAGAUAUCUUUGAGGAAGCGCUAUCCUUUGUGUCUUGCACCACUCGCCAAGCGCUGCGCUUAAAGUUCAAAUUAUUUCAACUUUGACCUCAUUGGUGCUGACCUUUUUAAAUGCGCAAUGAUGAGCUAUAACGUUACUUGCUCUGCGCUUUGCCUCUGUGCUGAUGGGCAGGCUGUUGGAGCAGAAGCAAAGUUUAGCUGUGAAAUUGUUAGUCUGUCAGUAGGCUUACAUUUAAAAUGAUUGUAUUAAUUUAACAAUUUCUGCUACAUUUUGGCAUAUUACACAAUAUUUAGUGUUAAGUUUAUUCUAUUUUUAUUAUCAUAUUCUCCCGAUUCCAUUUGAGUUUUCUACAUCACAGAAAUCAUAGGGCCGUAUUGUAGGUUGAAGGGGUAUGUACGUGUGCACUAAAUGUGUUUGACUAGAAUUAAUAAUUACUUUUAUUUGGAUACGUCGCCUGAGUAUUUUCUCCAUUGCUCACACCUCUAAUAUGUAUCAUCUUUUUGCAGUUUAAGUUGUAAAGCAGCUUUUGGCAACCUCCUAGGGAUGGAUUAUGAAUGUGGCAGUGCAAAGAAUGCAGUUUGGAAUUAGCUAGCAGGUAUUUGUUGUUGCAACAUUUUUGGCAGGCUCAUGGGCACUUUAGGGGCAGUUAUCGCUAUCCAUGUCUAUACACAGAUUGCCCCUGUACCUUUAAUACAUUGAGUAAGCUAUUAAAUCACACAUACAAAGGUCAUGAAAAACAUCAAGUUCCAAACCCAGUAGAAGGGUCUACAUUCCAGUGUCAUGUGUGCUCAUGCAGAGAGCUAGCAACUGAAAGAGCUUUUUUCCAACAUAUAAAUGGACAUCGCAUGCAUGAUGAAACAGUUCCUUGUAUGUUUGUAGGAUGCACAUUUAAAACUAAUGUGUAUAGUACAUUCAACACACACAAAAACAGGAAACAUAACCAACAUUCAUUGAAAGAUUUUAAAUCCAAUGUCCUCAGUACAAGUCAGUUGCAUCAAUCAAUCAAUUGUGCAGAUGGGCCUACAGAGUCUGUGGAUGCAGAUAAUGGAAAUGAAAUAUUAAGUUGUGGUGAUGCUACAGAAUUGUACAGGCCAAAUUUUAUUGACGAGAAAAUUGGUUGCAUUUUAUUGAAGUUGGAAAAUAUUGUUCACAUUCCAAAGGCGGUAAUUGAUGAGGUCCUUUCUGAACUUCACUACAUUUUAAGUACAGCAUCUUUGCCUGUCAUAAAAUCUAUUGUUUCUGAUGUAUUCCAGAGUCAUCAAUUACAAGUUGAAGAGUCAGUAGUGGGGGAAGUUUCUACUGUUCUAUGCAAAUCCAAUCCAUUAGGCAUAGCUAUUGCAAAGGAUGGCCCUCUUGCUACUGCGUAUAAACGUGCACAGUACUAUACCUCUCAUUUUGGUGUUUUAGAGCCAAUUGAGUACAUAUUAAAUGCCCAGAGGAAUAGGACAUUUCAAUACAUCCCUAUAUUGCAAUCUUUGCAACAUUUGCUCUCUCAUAAAGCUGUCCUUGAACACCUUAAAACUCAACAAAACCAGCUAUUAUCUCUUCACCAAGAGUAAAGAACCAUAAGAGAUGGUGAAUACUAUAAACAAAAUAAUUUUCUGUCGGCUGCAGGUUUGAGAAUAGCAGUAAAUCUUUAUGUGGAUGAUUUUGAGAUUUGUAACCCUCUUGGGACAUCUCAAAAGAAACACAAACUCUGUGGUGUCUACUGGGUUUUAGGUAAUUUGCCACCAGGUUCCCAUUCAACUCUAACCUCAAUCUAUUUGACUGUUCUAUGCAAAUCAGAUGAUGUCAAGGCCUAUGGCUAUGAAAAGGUUGUAGAGCCUCUCUUGCAAGAUUUGGGUACAUUAGAACAGCAUGGUGUCUUUAUUUCUCAGCUUGGUCAGUUUGUUAAAGGUACUGUUCAGUGUGUAAGCGCUGACAAUCUUGGAGCCCAUGGAAUAGGUGGAUUUGUUGAAAGUUUUUCUGGUGGGUCCAUAUGCAGGUUUUGUACUGGAGACAAAUCAGAGUUUCAGACCAAAGAUGUUAAAUCAGGUGCUUUCAAACUCAGAACCAGAGACCUCCAUGAUGUUCAUGUCCAGUCUGCUCAGAAAAAUGCAGCUAUUUGCUGUGGUGUCAAAAAACAAUGUGUUUUAACAGACCACCUUUCUCAUUUUCAUGUAAGCACUGGCUAUCCUCCUGAUAUUGUGCACGACCUCUUUGAGGGUGUUGUUCCAGUCGAACUAGCACGCUGUAUCAGUUUAUUGAUUUCCAGAAAAUACUUCACUCUUGAGGGCCUUAACAAAUUGAUCCAGACAUUUCCGUACAAAUGGGGGGACAAAACUAAUCGCCCCCAUCCAAUAUCACGCUUUUUCAAAACUAGCAACACUAUAGGUGGCAACGCACAUGAAAAUUGGGCCUUGCUCAGAUUUCUUCCCUUGCUGAUUGGACACAUUUUGCCAGAAGGUGAGCCAGCAUGGCAGGUUAUUAUAGAUCUUAAGGACAUAGUUGAGUUGGUUGUGGCUCCUGUUCAUACAGAGGAGACUGUUUCAUAUCUUGAAGCCAGAAUCUAUGAUCACAGACACCGCUACAUUGAACUCUUUCCACACAUCAAGCUCCUACCAAACUCCUUCAUCAAGCAGGUCGCACGUCAUACAAAUUGCUUUAAGAAUAUAACUCGUUCACUAGCUAUUAAACACCAGUUCAUGCUUGCUUACCACACACAUUCCUCCAGUCUCAAAAAGUCACCCUUGGAGAUCACUGAUGUCUCAAUCAUGCCUGUUGAUGUCCUAAGUGAAGGAGUAGUUUCAGCUCUGAACCAGAGAUACCCAGAUGUGACGGAAGUUCAUAUAGCAAAAAAUGUGUUUUGCAGUGGUAUACAUUACAGUGAGGGGAUGCUUAUUGUAAACGGAUCCGUAGAUGGACUGCCUAAAUUUAAUAAGAUCAUUCAAUUGUGCAUUCUGAAGGAUAAGUUGUGUUUUCUAGUGAAAUAUGUAUGUGCUUGGUAUAGGGAGCAUUAUGGUUUUUUUUUGUGCUGUCUGCAUCACCCACUAGAGAGGUUGCCCUAAUUGAACUUGAUGACUUGGUGGACCCUUAUCCCCUUGUGGAAGACAUGGUUCAGGGUUUGCGUAUGGUAAUGUUGAAAAGAUUCAUCGUCGUUAAAGAUUAAAGGUGUUGCAAAAUGGCAAGUCCGGCUGUCCUGCGGAUCAUUUUUGGUGACGCGUCUGACUCUAGAAAACUGCACCUUCCUUCUGGAAUUCCAGCAUCAGUGGAAGAACUACAUGUGCUAAUAAAGACGUUCUUUCAAUUGAAAGAGGACUUCCAGAUGCAAUACAUGGAUUCUGAUUUUAAUGAGUUCAUGAACCUAACUUCAGUGUUUGACAUUCAAAACAAAAGCACACUGAAAAUAAUCUGUAAUUCUAUUUUGUCACCUGUGGAGCCCUGCAUCACUUUGUACACAGUAGACUCUUUUGGUGAGACCUCAGCUACCACUUGAUCAGAGCCUGAAACCCCCGUUUCGUCAAUAGCCUCAUCCUGCAGUGACGAUACGCUGUACACAUCAACAUCGCAUUCAUCCCCAGAAACUCAGCCCUCACGAUUGGCCUCCUGGCCAAAGGUUUUUGUAGUCCCUAAAUUCACCUAUGAGGCUGAAUUUGAACUACAACAGAAAAACAGAGUUUGAGACCAAUGGAACAUACUUCAACCCUGGCCCAAAGCUGAAGGAGGUCAUCCUUGAUGGCCUUGCGCAAGAAAUGAUGAAGUACACAAAGUAUCCAAAAGACCAUCAGUGUGAAGAGGUAGCAGCAGCUUUGACAAGGGUCCAUCCUUGUCUGGGUCAGCUGGGAUCCAAGACAGGAUUUUGGGGAUGGAAACAGUCACUUAAGUAUAAAAUGCAAAACUAUCGUACGAAACUCGGCCGACUUGGACAUCCUGAAAUCAGUGUGAACUCUUUGAAACACAAACGAGAAGACCAAGGCAAAGCUGCAGCCAACAUCAAGAAGCCUAGAAAGGCCGAAGUUAACUAUAUUCCUUUGCACCCAAAAGGCGAGACCACAGAAAGCUUGGAGAACGAGAGAAUUGCUUUAUUGUCAGAACUGAAAAAGCGUGACAAUGAAGUGGUGAUAAAAGAAAAAAUGGGAAAAACCUCCCACAGACGACUAGAGAUUGUGGAGCAGAGGCCCCUGAUAGAAGAUUUUGUAAACAGAUGGCCAGCCUUAUUCCAGGAGAGUGAAGUGGAAUCCCAACACACAGGAGUGCCCCAGUAUACAUCCAGUCGCUUGUGGAACCGAGUGGUUGGGGAGCAAAAUGUAGCCGUACUGGUUGUUAAUAAACAAAAUAUCUUAUUCAGGGAUGUAUUUUCCACAUUGAACUAAAACAGCAAACAGAUGCACA